GAUGAACGCUGGCGGCGUGCCUAAUACAUGCAAGUCGAGCGAAUGGAUUAAGAGCUUGCUCUUAUGAAGUUAGCGGCGGACGGGUGAGUAACACGUGGGUAACAUGCCCAUAAGACUGGGAUAACUCCGGGAAACCGGGGCUAAUACCGGAUAACGUGUUGAACCGCAGGGUUCGAAAUUGAAAGGCGGCUUCGGCUGUCACUUAUGGAUGGACCCGCGUCGCAUUAGCUAGUCGGUGAGGUAACGGCUCACCAAGGCAACGAUGCGUAGCCGACCUGAGAGGGUGAUCGGCCACACUGGGACUGAGACACGGCCCAGACUCCUACGGGAGGCGGCAGUAGGGAAUCUUCCGCAAUGGACGAAAGUCUGACGGAGCAACGCCGCGUGAGUGAUGAAGGCUUUCGGGUCGUAAAACUCUGUUGUUAGGGAAGAACAAGUGCUAGUUGAAUAAGCUGGCACCUUGACGGUACCUAACCAGAAAGCCACGGCUAACUACGUGCCAGCCGCCGCGGUAA
rnacentral:rRNA from 1 species